UACAACAGCAAGGUAGCUUGACGUUGGCGUGUGUUGUCGUACGGUUGGUUGUUGGACUCGUGUUCUUACCAGUGUUCUUAGCGACGACUUCAGAAUGCAAGUCAGAGAUUUAUUCGACAAACUUCGACAGUUUGAUGCUUAUCCAAAGACGCUAGAAGAUUUUCGCAUCAAGACGUAUGGAGGUGCUAUAGUAACCUUGCUGAGUGCCGUGAUCAUGUUCACUCUGUUUGUUUCGGAACUGAAUUAUUACUUGACAAAAGAAGUGCAUCCAGAAUUAUUUGUUGAUACAUCUAGGGGCCAGAAACUUCGUAUCAAUGUUGACAUUACCUUUCAUCAUCUACCCUGUGCAUAUCUGAGUGUUGAUGCAAUGGAUAUAUCAGGCGAACAGCAAAUUGACUUGGAAACAAAUUUAUUGAAACAGCGACUGGACUCUACAGGCAAUCCUAUUAAUGAGACACCCCAGGAACAGAAGAUUGGAGAACCUACAAGUGUAACUAAUGAGAUAACAACAGAGAAGCUAGACCCAGACAGAUGUGAGAGUUGUUAUGGAGCAGAGACAGAUGAUAAAAGAUGCUGCAAUAAUUGUGAAGAUGUCCGAGAGGCAUAUCGCAAGAGAGGCUGGGCAUUUAAUAAUCCAGAGUCUAUUGAACAAUGCAAGCGUGAAGGAUGGUCAGAAAGCAUGCAGGCUCAGAAGAAUGAAGGCUGUCAAGCAUUUGGUUACUUGGAAGUGAACAAAGUAGCUGGAAAUUUUCAUUUUGCACCAGGCAAAAGUUUUCAACAGCAUCAUGUGCAUGUCCAUGAUCUUCAAGCAUUUGGAGGACAAAAGGUCAGUCAGCAAUAUUUUCUGAUGUCAAAAUUUUCAUGGAGUGAUUGUGCUUGUGAGACAGUUUUGAGAAACAUGGGAAUGGUAGAAAAAUAUUUUAAGAUAAAAAUUAUUCUUGGCAGCAUAACUAUUUGUAGUUUAGUGUUUUAUUUCUUUAUAAACCAAACACCCUUAAUUUGUAGUAGUGUGUGCCCAACUGAGGGAGGGCUGCCCAAAACCGGGUCCGCUGGCAAGGUGUUGUUGCAGCCCUAUGUUCCUCGAGGAGUAACAAGGAAUAAACUAACUAAACUAAAUGCAACUUACUGGACUAGGGCUAUUUACUAUAUAAAAAGUUCCAUAAACUUAACAUCAAGAGAACGGGAGGUGUUAUUCAUCACAUAUCUUGGGGCCAGCUCUUGUAAGAUCAGUACUCCUUUCCUUACCUUUCCCAACCCUCUGCAGAAUCAGAUACCCAUUCCAUAGUUGGAUCAACUGAAGGAAGAAUGCUACAUCACAGAGUAAUUAACUGCCAGUGGGUGUGUGCGAGCCUUCGGUUUCAGAUGCUGUUGUUCUAACCACAAGGCUAUUUUCCCCUUAUAUUUCUGACUUCUAUCACAUUAAAGUCGAGUUAUCAAAGGUUGUGUGAUAGCUACAAUCACAGUCUGGGCUCAAUGUGAAAAGGAAUAAAAUGUUUGUAUGUGAAACUUUUUCCAGUUUAAUGUCACUCACCGGAUUAAUCAUCUGUCAUUUGGGCAAGACUAUCCAGGCAUUGUCAAUCCUUUAGAUGGACACCAUGAAUCUGCUUCAAGUUUACAGAUGAUGUUCCAGUAUUUUGUCAAGAUUGUGCCAACCACUUACACAAAA
rnacentral:misc_RNA from 1 species